UCUCCGCGCCGGAAGGGUCACCGCAACGCCGGAGCGGUUGCUGGGCGACGCUCGCGGUAACUAGUUCCCGGGACUGCAGUGCGCUUCCGCAGCUUGCGGUCUGGGCGCCUCUUGUGAACAGCACUGGUUGGAGUUACAUCUGGAUGCCGAGUCCGAGCGCGCUUGAGCCCCAGGACAGUGACAAGAGCUAAGCUGCUACGCAAGGCUCUCACAAGUGAGUUAUCUGGGGUCUGGAACCUCAGCACCUUGACGUCACCAGCAGGUAGUCCUGGAAAUGGGGAGUUCUGAGAUGGAGAUGCUUGAUGGAGAUGCUCGCGGAGCUGUGCUGCAAUGGAAAAAUCGGACGCAGACAGGAGAAGAUCCAUGGUGUCUGGAACGCAGAAAGAAGAGAGUCCUCUUCGCUUGGGAACCUAGCUCCGCCGCCCCUGCCGGGGUGCUCAGUGGUCGGCAAAUGAAAGCUCCUUUCUUGGCCACUGACUCAGGACUAUGAUGGCAGCGGAACUCACCGGGAGUUUAAUGGAGAGCAUGCCCUUAUCCUUCUUUUGUUCGCAGACCGCUUAGCCACCCUUCCCUGUCCGCUCUAUGAUAUACAGAAUGCUAACGCACUCCUUGGACAAAUGGUACCUAGUGGGGGCUCAGCCUGUUGAAGCCAACGAUGGAAAACUGCAAGAGGGGACUUCCGGCUUCAGCCUGGAAUCUGACUAUGACUCUUAACAAGCUGAGAUUCAACGCCUCUGCUCUCAGCCCAUUCUUCCUCGCUGCAACCUACUUUGUAUCACCCACACAGGUUUCUAGGUCUGAAUCACAAUUGUUUCUCUGAAGAUGAAUCCACCAGCCAGUGCAGAAGCCAGGACAAGAGGGAGCAGCCAUGCCUUAUGUGAGCCUUUGGUCACUGAGUCCCGUUCUCCUGUCAGCAGCACUGGGAAAUGGAGAGACAGUAUUCAGGGAGGCACACUUAUUCCUGCUCCACCAUCACCCUUCUAUGUGGCUAUCACAGAGCCAGGUAAGUACCCUGAAACAUAGCUAACAGAGCUGUAGUGUGACUGCCACCAGCACUGUGACAGUUAAUCCAAGACCUACUAAACAGCUGUGGAAACUGCGUCCUAACAGCCAGAACCUCCACUUUUGAAUGCAUCGCCCCCUGAGGAAGACCUGCAGGUGAGACUGUUUCUCUCAGCAAACACGGAAACACAGGCCUCAUCCUGUUGGACUUGCCUAUGGGGAGCGAGGGCUUUGUAGAAGCUCCUGUCCUGGCAGAGCUCAGCUUCCUCGAUUGGCCAGAUUAGCAUGACCACCACAGCAAGCACAGCACACCCAAGGGGGACCGUGCCACAAAAUAAAACACCAACAAGAGUUUAAUUCUAAAGCCCGCAUGGAAGACGCGAUUGGCUAUGAGAUACAGCGCUUCUCAUUGUAACACAUUAAUAAUAAAUUAGAAGCUGAAAGGGAAAAAAAAAAAAAAAAAAAAAAAACCUCACCAGCUGACCUCACCGUGACCCAGAGCUAUGGGUGCUGCUCAGAGUUCUAUAAAAAGUAACAUGCGAUCUUCCCAAAGCCCUCUGUUUGCUGCAAGGAAAUUUCAGUUCCUUGCAACUCUUUUCCUAGCUCCCACGUGUAGCCUUGCCAUGAUCAGAACUAUUUUGGAAAGAUGUCCUUUAACACAGUUCAUGCAGGGAAACCCCACACUCCAGCUACAACAGGGUGAGGCAGAGAAGACCUGCUUGUGGUCCAGAAUCUUCUUUUGUCCCAUCUCCAGGGUACACCAGAAGAGAGGGAGACUUACCAUCUUCUUUUAGAACCUGAGCUGUUGCAGCUGGGCACACCCACCCUGAGCAGGUUCAGUGGCUGCACCACUCUGUCCUGCUUCACACAGGUGGCUGAGGCUGGAGGCAGAGGCUCAGCGACUGAUCCACCCAUCAGCUGUCCUGUGCUGCCCUCUGCCGGCCGGUGGGGGACAAUCCACCCAUCAGCUGUCCUGUGCUGCCCUCUGCCGGCCGGUGGGAGAUGAACAGCCACCUAAGACAAGAGACCCGGAAUAGGAGCCAGCUGACUGCUUUUACAAACAAACUGCUAAGGGAGACCAUCCCAGAAGACUGCGCGAUACAAUGAAAGAUCAGCAGAUCCUAACAAAUACAUCUACACCACAGCUCCUGCAUCUACGGCUGAGGAAACUUGGAGGAAGUAGUCGUGGGAGGAUGUAAAAGCCCAGCACCCCUGUCAGACUCACAGCUGCCAGUAACUGCAGACCCAACACCCUCUCUGGCCUCUGAAGGCACUUGCAUUCAAUAUGCUCAUACCCCACACGGACAUGUAAUUUAAAAUAAAGCAGAUUUUUAAAAGAAAGAAA